ACAGUGUAACAAAUGAAAUAGUUAGAAGCUUGUCAGGGUGUUAAGGAGCAGGGGCUGACAACUCGCCCUCCUGUCAGCGCCCACCGGAGCUGCUGAGCCUCGUGGUUAUGGAGCAUCCCAGCAGUGCUGCAGCCCUGCGGUCUCCCUGGGGAUGCUGCGUUUGGUGCUCAGCUGGAGGACACUGAGCAGGGGACGGCGUCGCGAUCCUCGUGGCUGCGGCCACGGCUCAGCAUGAGAGCGAAGGGCGCCGGGAGGCAGGCGUGGAUUACAUGGGAGCGACGGGAUCAAACUGCAGAGCUGCUCCGGAUCUCCAAGUCCGAUUCGGCACAGCAUCAAUGCGUGCAACUUUGGGGAGUUCUUUGGAGCUGGGCUGCUCCCAAUCGGCGGCCAUUCCUACACACCGAGGCUGCGCUCCUGCUGCAGCCUCCUUCUGCUGCCUGCCUCCAUCACCCCAUGCAGCAGGGAAGGGAGAGCAGGGCUGCAAUCUCGUGCUUCAGAAGCAAAAAGGCGAGAACCAGCUAACGCACAAUUGCAAGACGCUCCGCGGAUUUAGUUCUGACAGAGCUGUUUUCACAGCCCGGUUUAGCCGAUAAGCUGCACGCUGGGCUUAACCCUCGGGGUGCUAAGAGAUGCUCUUGAUAAUAAAACCCAAAGGAGUG
rnacentral:lncRNA from 7 species